UUUAAAUUAAUCAAUUCCUCCAAUAUAGAGUACUGCAGCAUCACCCUGUUCCCUGGACAAAAUCUCAACUCUGGAGGACCAGAGGCAUUUGGGCUUGACAGCAUAAAUCUGCAUCCACUUUCAGUGUAUGAAAAAGAACUGGAAGCAAAAUAUGUAAUCUGAGAAAAAUUAGGUGAUGAAGCGGUUGAAAUUACUGUUACAUCUAUCAUGCUGGAUAUGAAAAUGACUCUCCAGCUGUGCUAGAUUCUGACUGAAGCGCAGACUGCAGGAAUGGAAAUGAUCUGUGGUAGUGGGUGUUACAGCAGCGAUGUGACAAGUAAAUUGGAGUCUAAAUUGCAACACUGUGUCAUUUUAAAAACCUCAAUUUAUGGAAAUCAGCCCUUUUCCCACACACAGGUUUUAUCUUUUUGUCAAGCACAGAGAACAGAGUGUUAGAGGUGCUGAAUGGAGGAAACUGGCUGUUAAUUAAAGUCUGUCACAGACGAUCUCACACACCAAACUGUCACACCAAGUUUGUCCCAGCAAACACGUCUACUAGUUUCACUUCCUCCUGUCUCUAUGUGAAGUUGUUGAGGAUUUACAUGCUGUUCAUCUCUGAGAGGCUGUAAAUAAUGCAGAAUAUUAGAGUCAAUUUUGCUUUAUUGUUUUCUCAUAUUUCCAAACUCUGGAACUAGAUCAAAUUAAUGUAUACAUAUAUGCAGUGGCAUUAGUUGAUUAGGUUUAAUCCAGUGUCAAUCAACAAAAACCAAACUCCAUUCAGACAGUCAGAGUGUCACUUUAGGCUAAUAAAAAAAAUCAUAUUAAACCUGUCAUUGACCGUUUAAGUAUAACUAAGAAUCUAAACCCAACUGGCACACAUCAAUUGAAUGGACUGCUUUCAAGGAUUGUAGAUGGAUCAGUAUCCAAAAGAGCCAUUUAAUCUUUUAUUCAGCAGUGUUUGUUGACACCCUAAAUUACUCAUUAUGCAAUGCCACAUUAUCAAGACUGGCUAACUAGCUUUCCAGGGAACUUCUGAACAGUCAAUUAGCUCAGGAGACUUAAUGUAGUUCUUAGUUAUGGCUCAUUUGAGUAUCAGCUUUGUUUGCUAUUAGUCCUAAAAUGCCUAAGAAUGCAGAAAAGUUCUUUUCGCCACAUAUGGGGUUUAAUUCUGUGUUCAAUCUGUGUUCGACUGGUUCUUGUAUUUUUUGAAGCCUUGAAAUAGUUGUGUACUCGUUUUCAAAUCUGUAAUAGGGCUCUUAGUUUGGUAUAGCCAGAAUGAAAUGUCAAUGUAUUCAACACUCGGAAUAGAUUCAAACAAAAUAGACAGACACAAGGGGUGACAUUAUAUUACCAUUUUAUUAUAUUUUAGAGAUUGAGAGACAAAUGUGUGGAGCAGCUACUUGAGCUGCAUUUUUUUUCUGUUGCACAAACCAGAUUUAUAACCUGCUCCUUUAAAUCCAAUCCAGCUGCUUAUCUGAUUGGCUUAGAGGGACAGAGGGUGGGGUUAACUGGAAGUUGUGCAGAACUCCAUAGGGUAUGUUUACAUGACAACAAGUUCUUCUUUUGCGUUUUUGAAUAGAUAGAUAUGACAACUAGU